rfam:Aedes aegypti strain Liverpool supercont1.473 genomic scaffold, whole genome shotgun sequence.
CUUCUCAUGGCGUAGUGGUAACGCGCCCCAACUAGAGAUCGGGGAGUCGUGAGUUCGAUUCUCACUGAGAAGA